GAAUGGAGUCCAAGUUCCCACUUCAGAACUCCAUGCAGGACCCUGAUGCUCUAGGAACACCAUGGGGACGGCCACAUCCCAGCAUGCAGCACAUCAAAGAGGACAAGGUUGGUGCUCAAACAUUCCAUUCUUGUUGCAUCAGAGAUCGAGGCUGAAAUCUUGUAAAAGCAAAACAACUGUGACAUUUCAAAAUCUGCCCAGAAAGAACACAGACUACACCAAGACAUAGGACUGAAGAGCUGGGGUGAGGAGGAAAGGGAAAUGAAAGAAGAGCCACAACAAGGAACAUAUUGUGCUCCUGGAGAUGAAACAUCACAAUGCUGGGACUCCCCCUUGAGCCCUAGAGACUGACUCAGCACCUAUUGAUAAAAUGCUGAAGACAUUAAUGUAGGACCAGAACUGCAGGAGGUUUCCCUACAACCAUCCUCACCUACUCAGUGCCUGGGGUGCUUUUCUCUUUUUCCUUAGCUCUGGAUUGACACCAUUCACUGCGGUGAGCAGGCCUCCCAACCUCCAGGAAGAUGGAGGCCAAAAAUUGUUUUUCAUCUUAAGAAUACAAUUGCUUAAUUAAAGAAGGUAAGUUGACUGCAGCAAGGAGUAGUCAAGACAGAUUCUGAAGACUGGGUAUUGGAAAUUUUUGUGUAUUUUUCAUGUAUCAGGUUUUUUCCAGAAUAUUCCUAUUGCAAUAGGCUGCUGCUGUGUGUCACUGUUCUGUCCUUCAAUACACAAGCACAGGGCGAGUGGCUUUUCAAUACUCUUGUUCUGGACCAACUACUAAAUGUGUAAGGGCUAUGUAAUAAACUUCAUUUAAAAACUGA